rnacentral:rRNA from 1 species
UUUGAUCCUGGCUCAGGAUGAACGCUGGCGGCGUGCCUAAUACAUGCAAGUAGAACGCUGAAGCUUGGUGCUUGCACCGAGCGGAUGAGUUGCGAACGGGUGAGUAACGCGUAGGUAACCUGCCUGGUAGCGGGGGAUAACUAUUGGAAACGAUAGCUAAUACCGCAUGACAACAGUUAUUGCAUGAUAGCUGUUUAAAAGGGGCAAUUGCUCCACUACCAGAUGGACCUGCGUUGUAUUAGCUAGUUGGUGGGGUAACGGCUCACCAAGGCGACGAUACAUAGCCGACCUGAGAGGGUGAUCGGCCACACUGGGACUGAGACACGGCCCAGACUCCUACGGGAGGCAGCAGUAGGGAAUCUUCGGCAAUGGACGGAAGUCUGACCGAGCAACGCCGCGUGAGUGAAGAAGGUUUUCGGAUCGUAAAGCUCUGUUGUAAGAGAAGAACGAGUGUGAGAGUGGAAAGUUCACACUGUGACGGUAUCUUACCAGAAAGGGACGGCUAACUACGUGCCAGCAGCCGCGGUAAUACGUAGGUCCCGAGCGUUAUCCGGAUUUAUUGGGCGUAAAGCGAGCGCAGGCGGUUAGAUAAGUCUGAAGUUAAAGGCUGUGGCUUAACCAUAGUACGCUUUGGAAACUGUUUAACUUGAGUGCAAGAGGGGAGAGUGGAAUUCCAUGUGUAGCGGUGAAAUGCGUAGAUAUAUGGAGGAACACCGGUGGCGAAAGCGGCUCUCUGGCUUGUAACUGACGCUGAGGCUCGAAAGCGUGGGGAGCAAACAGAAGUAGAUACCCUGGUAGUCCACGCCGUAAAC